CUCUCUCUCUCUCUCUCUCUCUCUCUCUCUCUCUCUCUCUCUCUCUCUCUCUCUCUCUCUCUCUCUCUCUCUCUCUCUCUCUCUCUCUCUCUCUCUCUCUCUCUCUCUCUCUCUCUCUCUCUCUCUCUCUCUCUCUCUCCACUACACAACAUAAAGGAAGGCUACACCACCACACAGCGUCAAGCAAGGUCGCAAACCCACCACAUAAAGGCCACCACAUAAAGCACCACAUCACAUAAAGCAAGCUGUCACUCUGCUACGUAGUAAGAAGACGAGCUCCUAACACUUAAGCCCCAGCACCUAGGUCAUAAAGUGCGUAACAAAGUGAACAUGACAACCUAUGAAGAUCCAGCUACUGUUAGAGCGUUGGCUCCAACAGAUAUAAAUAAAAUGACAAACCCACAACUAAAGAGAGCGCUUACAACUCUACUAACAGCUGAUGCCUCUACACAACCAUCUAAUAAUGAUCUAUUGGAGGAAAUAAGAAGCUUAAAAGAGGAAGUGAAAGGCAUGGCCAGCAUUAAACAAGAAGUGGAGCAGUUGUCUGAUAAGUUGGACCAAGCAUUCCAGAUGAUUUCACAACAACAGUUAUUUUUAGAAUCUUUGGACAACAAGGAGAGGAAGAGAAAUUUAGUUAUUACUGGGUUGACAGAAGAGAGCGAUGUAACAGGGUGCAACGAUGCUGAGAAAGUACGCAAUGUGAUAGCAGCGACUGGAUAUCAGCAAAACGUUGAUCCUGCAGCGUGGGAAAUCAAACGACUCGGAAAAGAGGACCAGCGUAGGAAACGACCGCUUCUUGUCGUGGUGGGAGACGGAAAUCAACGUAAUGAGAUCGUGAGGAUGGCAAAGAACUUGAAAUCAGUUGAAGGACCUCUCUCUUCUGUGUAUGUCAAGAAGGAUGUCCACCCGGCAGUGAGAAAGGAGAUGGCGCGGUUGAGGCAACGUGAAAGAGAAGAAAAAGAAAAGCCAGGAAAUGUGGGUGUGUCUAUUAGUUAUGAUUGGAAAAGACGUGUGUUGUUAAGGGAUGGCAAUGUAAUCGAUAAGUUUUCACCAUAUUUUUUCUGAAUACAAAGAAAAAUACCAGUGUGUUGAAAUUAUGUUCAUGGAAUGUAUGUGGAGUAAGGGAAAAAUUGAAUGAUCCGGAAAUUCUUAAGUUCUUAAUGCAAUAUGAUCUGGUUUGGCUGUUAGAGGUUAAAAGUGCGUAUGAAAAAAGCGUACCUGGUUUCUAUAUGUAUAACAAUAAGUCAAGAGUAGGCUGUAACAGAGGUGGUGUUAUGUUGCUCUUCAAAUGUGCGUUGAUGCAAUAUGUGACCAAUGUAAACAUGGAGGAAGAUGACAUGAUAUGGGUGAAUUUAUCGGUGUGUAAAGAUGUGAAAUUCGGUGGUGUUUAUAUACCUCCAGAAGACUCACUAUAUUGCGAAGCUUCACCGUUUCGAGCGUUAAGUGAGAUGUGUUUGAACACUCGUGACGUAGUUGUUUUAGGUGAUUUUAAUGCAUGAGUUGGAUCACAUGUGUUGUCGUGUGGUGAUGGAAGUGUCUAUAGAUAUGAUGGUGUGAAGGAUCCGGUAGUGAAUAGUCACGGGCGUAUGUUGCGUAACAUGUGUAGAAGUAACAAUAUGGUUGUGAUGAAUCACCUGAACAGAAAAGGAACUACCUUAGGAGGUGACUUAUCUUUUAGAAGAGGAUCAAGAUGGACAUCGGAGAUUGACUUGUGCGUGGUUACUUCCGAUUGCGUAAGAUUUGUCAGUUCGGUCGAGGUAAACAAGUCAGUUAAAGGUUCCGACCACGCCCCAAUUUGCGUAGAUCUCGCUACUAAAGAAAUGACUCAAGUUUCCCCGACAGAGCUGUUAGAACGAGCUAACGGUCUGGGUGAGUCAUACCGAAGAAUACGUGCAAACGAGUCGAUGUGGAAAAGUCCAAGAUAUGACACCGUAAACUUACAUGAUUUCAGUACCGAAUUGCUAAGUCUCGAUCCACCGAAUCCGGACGCUGUUAGUAUUGAAAAUAUUUCUGAAGCCUUCAGAUCGAGCAGUGAAAUUAUUCAUGAAGCUGCUCGUAGGAACAGAUGUGGACGUCUCGACCAGCAGGAAGAAACGUGGGACAGAACGUUGCCGCGCUGGAGAAGGAUGUUAGAAACAAAUGAUGCUAAGUUCAUAUGGAAGGCCAUUAACUGGUCAGGGAAUAUUGAUACGCACGAACACAGACAACCUGAAGACGAUCAACUAAAGACCCAUUUCGAGAGCUUGUUAAAUAAUGAGUGUCACACUAAUAGUAUUCGCACUGUAUGUAUAGAUGACUCGACUCCAACGAUACCCGUAUUAGACGAACCUUUCACUGUACAAGAAUUAGAUAAAGUACUCAAGGAUGUGAAUGUUAGAAAAAGUUAUGUUGGUAUUUGUCCAGGAAUUAUGAGAGCUUUACCUGUUGACUGGAUCAUGUUCUUUUUACAUAUGUUUAACGUUGUUUUUCUUAAUGUGUGUUAUCCAGUUUCAUGGGGUUGUAGCAAACUUUUUGUACUCUUCAAAGGAGGUAAAGACAGACUUGAAUGUGGAAACUACAGAGGCAUAUCCAUUAUGAAUACAUUGGCAAAAUUGUAUGAUUACUUAAUUUUGAACAGAUUAAAACUAUGGACAAGUAUUGAUAAAUGUCAAGCAGGUGCUCAAAGCGGUCGAGGAUGUGUCGAACAAAUAAUGACGUUAAGAUUAUUAUGUGACCUGGCUAAUUAUAAGAAAAAGAAGCUGUAUAUGUUAUUCAUAGAUUACAGCAAAGCAUAUGAUAGAGUGCCUCAAGGUAAAUUGCUUGAAUGGCUUAAAUCACGUGGUUGUGGUAAGGUUAUGUUGCGUGCUAUACAAGCUAUGUAUUCCUGUACUCAAAGUGUGUUACGUUCUGCAACUAUUGAUGCCACUGUUGGAGUCCGCCAAGGAUCUCCAUCGAGUUGUCUCUUAUUCACCAUAUACAUGGAUGAGGUGGUUAGGAUGAUAAACAGGUGUGUAGAUACAGAUGGAUUCUUGGGGAAACUACAUACGCUCCUUCUUUUGGAUGACAUGGUAAUACUAGCUACUUCUAAAGAAAUGUGUGUGAGAAAGUUAACCGCAGUGUUGGAUUAUUGCCAAGAAUAUGGAAUGGUACCUAAUGAAAAGAAAACAAAACUUAUGGUAGUGCGAGGUACAGAUGAAGACAGAUUGCCGUUAACUGUUCGUAACAUCAAGAUAGACUGUGUUCAUAAGUAUCUUUACCUUGGGGCAUGGAUUUGUGAUGAUGCAAAGAUGAACACAGUAUUGGACCUUCACGAAACCGUGAAUGAGAUGCAACUCAAUAAAUUUGCAAUUUUUUGUGCAGCAAAUAACAUUAUGCCAUAUACAUACAAGCGCAAAGUAUUUGAUGCUGCUGUCACUUCUGCCCUUCUUUAUAGCUCAGGAACAUGGUUGACAAAUAAUCCUAGAAAGAUAAUUGUUCAAUACAAUAGAGCAGUAAAGAACUUGCUAGGGGUAAGGAAAUUUACAAGCCCCGACAUGUGUCUUAUUGAAUCAGGUAUUCCACCUGUACUUGAUGUCAUAGCAAAAAGGAGAAGGAAAUUUCUAGAAUCAAAGUUAAGGGAACCGAACGUUGAAGAACCAUUCUAUGUUGCAUUUGAGUUGUGCAGAGUAGCUAAUACUCCAGGGUAUCAAUUUGUGAUGAAGGCACUACAGUAUAGAGAUAACGUAAAUCCACUGGAUAUAGUCAAAAUAAAAAUUAGAGAAAAACCCGAGACGGCAUCUAAGUAUGUGGCGUACAGAUCAGUAAUUAACCCUGAACUAUCAGUACAUCCAGUUUAUGUCAGCAAUGAGUUUGUCCCGGACUACAAAAGGCAGGCCCUUACGAGGCUUCGACUAAUGUCACAUGAUUUAAAAAUUGAGACGGGUAGAAGGAAUGGAAUACCAGCAGAGUUGCGACUGUGUAUGUGUGAUAGUAAUGCAGUACAAGAUGAGUCUCAUGUUUUGUUAAAUUGUUCUUUGUCAAGGGACUGUAGGGCUAGAUAUAAUAUGUUGGAUUUUAGUAGUUUUACCAGUUUAAUGAAGUAUAAGGGUAAAUUAGGUACUUUAUGUGAUUAUGUUUGCGAUGUGUUAAAGCUUUACGGCUAAAAUGUUCUUGUUUUUUAAAAGAAAGGGAGUUUGAAUUUUUUAGGAGUUAAGUUUAGAGAAAGUUUGUUUUUUGCAAUGUGAAUUGGUUAAUUUUAUCUGGACAGGAUUUUUAUUUGUAGCUCUUUUUAUAUAUAAUGAUUUUAGUGAAAUGAUUUUUACUUUAAGCUCCUUGUAAUCACAAAAUUCUGUCAAUAAACUAUAAAAUAAAAUAAUCUCUCUCUCUCUCUCUCUCUCUCUCUCUCUCUCUCUCUCUCUCUCUCUCUCUCUCUCUCUCUCUCUCUCUCUCUCUCUCUCUCUCUCUCUCUCUCUCUCUCUCUCUCUCUCUCUCUCUCUCUCUCUCUCUCUCUCUCUCUCUCUCUCUCUCUCUCUCUCUCUCCCCUGGACACCAGACAGGCAGGAAGCCCCUCGCCGCCUGUGUGGUAACGCCCUCCUCUGUUACAGGUGCAAGGUCAGUGUGCAUCCUUGGUGCAGCCCCAGGGUUCCUGCAGGAACAGCCACGGCCAGGAGCAGCAUUGCAAUGGAGGGUGCGAGGCCAGGCAACAGCAGCAGCAGCAGCAGUAGUAACAGCCUGGAGCAGCAGGUGACCCAAGGCAGGAGGACCUACACUUGUGACCACUGCGGCAAAGUGUGCUCCACCAAGGCUGCCAUUGCCAGACACGUCCUCUCCCAUGCCAGCAAGACAAGGCUGAGAGGCAGGAGUGGCCCCGCUGAACACACUGCCACCCACACUGGUGGUAGGAACCACAAGUGUGACAUCUGCAGGAAGACAUUUGUCCGGAAGAGUCAUCUUGCCUCACACAUCCUCACCCACACUGGGGAGAGAAAGUUCCAGUGCCUGGAGUGUGGGAAAAGAUUUACCCAGGAGAGUCAUCUUGCCUCACACAUCCUCACCCACACUGGGGAGAGAAAGUUCCAGUGCCUGGAGUGUGGGAAAAGAUUUAGCCGGAAGGGUUCCCUUAACACACACAUCCUCACCCACACUGGGGAGAGAAAGUUCCAGUGCCUGGAGUGUGGGAAAAGAUUUACCUGGAAGGGUUCCCUUAACACACACAUCCUCACCCACACUGGGGAGAGAAAGUUCCAGUGCCUGGAGUGUGGGAAAAGAUUUACCAUGAAGAGUUCCCUUAAAACACACAUCCUCACCCACACUGGGGAGAGAAAGUUCCAGUGCCUGGAGUGUGGGAAAAGAUUUACCCAGAAGUGUACUCUUGACAGUCACAUCCUCACCCACACUGGGGAGAGAAAGUUCCAGUGCCUGGAGUGUGGGAAAAGAUUUACCUGGAAGGGUUCCCUUAACACACACAUCCUCACCCACACUGGGGAGAGAAAGUUCCAGUGCCUGGAGUGUGGGAAAAGAUUUACCCAGGAGAGUCAUCUUAACAGACACAUCCUCACCCACACUGGGGAAAGAAAGUUCCAGUGCCUGGAGUGUGGGAAAAGAUUUACCCGGAAGGGUACUCUUGACAGACACAUCCUCACCCACACUGGAAAGAAGAAGAGAAAACAGCCAAAAUCAUAGCUGUUGCAGUCCCCGGUGACUCCGGCCUCAGUAGAGCUGAAAGGCACAAAACUACAAAAUAUCACGACCUAAAAAGUAACCUGGGAACAACAUGGUCGCCGAUGGACACCGGUAUAAUACCAGUGGUGGUGUGGGCGACAGGGCUAAUGAAGAAAACCUUGAGAGCUGCCUGGAGGCAAUCCCCGGUCGCCCAAGUGCCCACGAGGUACACACAGCUGCGGUCAAGGGAACGGUCGCCACGCUGAACAGAGCCCUCGGAUGCAAUGCCGGCGCUGCUGAGGGUGUGACCGCUAACACCAGGCUCGGGGCCCAUUGCACUCACCAGACAACAAAACAGGAAAGUGCAGAAAACGGGGAGAGAAUGUUCCCGUGCCUGCAGUGUGGGAAAAGAUUUACCCACAAAGGUAAUCUUAACACACACAUCCUCACCCACACUGGGGCUUGUACAAACUCAGUGCACCCUGAGUGUAGGAAGACAGAAGGAAGCAGAAACAGAAGGAUCUGCUCUGAACCACCCUGGAGAGAGAAACUGCAGCAGAGGAUCACCCAUCAAAGAGAAGAAAUCUGGCAGAUAACAAGCUUCCUGCAAGACCAAAACGACACAAGGAACCUCCUCAAGAAAACAGACAGAAUGACAGGAAGGCGCAGCGCAAGCAACGGCCGGCCGGGCGGAAGACCGGCAGGGGCCGAGCCCCGGCCAAAGCCUUGGCACCACAAAUGAGGACAAAGACAAGAAAAUAAAGGCCAGAAAGAUGAAGAGGCAGCUUGCAGAAAAGCCAGGGGUGGUGUGCAGGCACAUGGCAAAGACCUCAACAGAAGUACAAGACCCACCCGAGAAAGAAGUGGCCGAGGGAUGCUGGAGGCCACUGCUGGAAGACCCAACACAGCAUCAGGCAGCCCCGGGGAUACAGACCACCACGGUUAAACACACAAGUAAACAACAACAAUGCCAGCUGUUCAACUUACACAGGAAGGUCUGCUGAGAAAGAGAGUGAGUCAAUGCAGCAAGUUUGAGGCUCCAGGUGUAGACAAAGCCCCAAGUUUUGGGUCAGAAAGAUUACACAAGUGCACCGUUCCGUGCACUCGUUUGUACCAGACUACAGAAAGGAAAAGAGGAGCCCCCACAAUGGCUGGCCACUGGAAACACCAGCCUGCCACCAAACGCCAGCCAGACUCCACUGCCAGCCAGACACAGAGCCGUCCGCUGCCCGUCAACAACACGCAGGUGGCCGACAGAGACACCGGCGUGGAGUUUGGUCUGGUGGAGUGCUCCACAUGCACCGGCAGGACUGGCAAGAAGGUAGCACCAGAAACACACACACUGGUGAACAGGACUGCAUUCAACACCUUGCCAUUCAACACCUUGCUCAACACUCCACAUGCAAGUGUUUGGGAACACAAGAGAAUGCCACACUACAACACAAAAAAUGAGAAAAACAAUCAACAAAGAAUUACCUUAACACCUUGAAAAAGAUUUGCAGGUCAGAACUACCACCAAAAAACAAGACUACUGCCACAAACCAGCUGGCAGUACCAGUAGUGACUUGUGGGUGUGGUGUGGUGUGGUGACUGGCCACAAGACUACUGCCACAAACCAGCUGGCAGUACCAUAGUGACUUGUGGGUGUGGUGUGGUGUGGUGACUGGCCACAAGACUACUGCCACAAACCAGCUGGCAGUACCAGUAGUGACUUGUGGGUGUGGUGUGGUGUGGUGACUGGCCACAAGACUACUGCCACAAACCAGCUGGCAGUACCAGUAGUGACUUGUGGGUGUGGUGUGGUGUGGUGUGGUGACUGGCCACAAGACUACUGCCACAAACCAGCUGGCAGUACCAGUAGUGACUUGUGGGUGUGGUGUGGUGUGGUGACUGGCCAAAAGGUUUAUUCUGAAAUGUAAUCUUGACAAACAUCCUCACCCACACUGUGGUAAGGAAGUACAGGUGUGGUGUUUGUGGCAGUGUUUCUGUAGGAAGAGUGGUGUUGCCAGACACAUCCAAACACUCCUGUGGGGGUGAGGUGUUGUGGAUGUGCUGGUGGUGUGUGAGGGACUUGGAGUGACUAGUGUUUGUGUGUUGUUACUUUGUACUCAAGUGUUGGAAUAAACUUUUGUUGCUAGAA